GUGGGAUUCAAUCCCAGGUCUCCAGGAUCGCGCCCUGGGCCAAAGGCAGGCGCUAAACCGCUGCGCCACCCAAGGAUCCCCUCAUUUUGCUUUUUAAAGUGAAUAUAAUGACUGCCGAGAUCUUCUUGACAAUGACCACAAACCAUAGAGCUUUAUCCCUUCAUUGCUUCCCCUUCGGGCUCAGAAAUUUCAAGUUCUUGAUCUUUCCCUCAAUUCGCUUAAGCAACUGUCUCAAAAGCACCAUAUGUUUUUCUCCAUAUCCAGUGAAAAGACCAAAAGUUGGGGUCCUAAUCAGGGAGAAAACAUUAUUUCUCAAUUUUAAUGGUCAUAGGGGUACCUCGGUGGCUCAGUAUGUUAAGCCACUGACUCUUGAUUCCCACUCAGGUCAUGAUCUCAGGGUCGAUCAAGCCCCACGUGGGGCUCCAUGCUCAGUGCAGAGUCUGCUUGGUAUUCUCUCCCUCCAUCCCUCCAGGGGCUCAUAUAUGCAUGGACACACAUGCCUCCUCUCUCAAUCUCUCUCUCUAAUAAAUAAAUAAAUGAAUAAAAUCUUAAAAGAAAUUUUAAUGGCCAUAGUCUUAUUAGAAGAUUAGAAAAAUAUCCUAAGAAAAGCAAUAUGUACCUCUAUUUAAACAUGUAUUUAAUUAGGAAGAUUUCUAAUUCAAUUUUUUUUUAAGUAUGGAAGCCAGAGAAUAAGAAAGGCAAUUCUUCUAAAAAAAAAUGGGUCAACAGCAGAAGUCACAUUGAAGACUAGUGGAGCUUCAUAAGGAAAUUCCUCCCAACACAGUUUGGGCAUUUAUCAGGAAGGAGAAAGUACAUAAACUAAAGGGGUGGUUGCCAGGGCAAACUUUUUCAUAUUUGAGGAAGUAAAAAUCUUAGAUCGAGAAACCAAGGAUCUUACAGGUAUUCUAUAAAAGCCUGUACCUUAUUCCUCUCCAACUUUAUUGUGUUUUCAUAAAAGAAAGAGAAAAGAAGAACAUAUAAAAGUCCAGCUCCCCUGCGAGCAUUAAAAGGAGGAAAAGGUUUUUAGUUGAGAGAUGCACGAGGGAUGAGAAUCAUGGCAGUCAAACGUCCUCCGCCAGGUAAACAGGAAACAGACUGUACAAAGCUUUUGACCAAAGAUCACUGGAACCUAGAAGCAGGCGGAGCGCGUUCAAACUGGAAGCUUCUUCAGCACUUCGGACAGGCCUAGGCUUCAGAAUAAUCAAAGCUCUGCGGGCAGCAGUUGCCACGUGCAGAGAAGAGAAGCUGCCCCAGGGACGGUGGAGAGGCAUAAUGUGGAGCAACUGUUUGAAGGGAGGAAUGAAAGCACAUCCUGAUGUCUUGGAGCUAAGAGAAGGAAAAGGAUAUUUACAUAAGAUGAGAUGCCAAUAAAUUGGAAAGUUCAAUGUGCUUAGAAAUAGAUAGUGGCUGGGACAAUGAUAAAGGAAUCACAUUGCUACAGCAGAUUGCAUCUUUCAUGUUUAAUUUUCGUUUAAUUCCUGAGGAAGGCAGAGGCUCAGAGGAAUGACUCACCCUCAUCCUCUUCCUUCAGAAACACUCCUGCCGACCCAACGGACGCCAAAUCCUGGAAAUACCCCUAUCUGUUACGCUCCUGAAUUGAUCGUUUUUCAUACGGCAUUUAUUGAUUAGAAGCAAUAUUCAUCUGAGGUUCAGCCAUGAAGCAGUGUUUCAAACCAAGCGAGGAGGUACAAGGUGGACAUUUCCAGCCUGUUUGGCUAGGGAUUCAUCUGUCAUCAUCUUUGUGCCCGGAGAGAACACCAAAGCCAAAAUGAACAUGUGCCUUGUACGAAGAAAUCCCAGGAUUGUCACAACUUGUGCCAGCUGUUGAGGUUAUGACACCUGUGCCAGCAUCGCCAGCUCUGCCCACUGUCAUCUGUUCCAACUGUUCCAUCUGCACUGUUUGUACCAAUUCUCCCAUUUCUGCAUCUGUACCUUCUGCAGAAACGUUUCCAACAAUGCCAGCUGUGUCAUUGGUGCCAAAUAUGCCAGAUGUUCUAUUUGUCCACCCUGGGCCAAAUCAAUGCAGUUCUGUGCUCAUUAGUCUUAGCUGGUAGAUUCUAUUUUACAAUUUUUUGAGAUGUAUUUAGAUUGAAUCCAGGCAAAAAUCCCCUUCACAACAAUUUCACAUCUCUCUAUCUAUCUUUUCACCACCCAACUUUACCUAACAGAAUAAAGUUGGUCAAUGCUGUCUUGAUCGUAUGAAACCCAUUCCCAAGAACCCAUUCAACAUUAAUUGUGGUAGGGCAUCUCCUACAACAUGAAACGAUAGAGAGGAAAAUACUGCAGAAGCCCCUGAACACAACAAUAAAUUGGCAAAGUAAUUAAAAAAAGAAUAACUUUGUUCUGAUAACCAAAUUGAAAAUGCUCAAAAAUCAAUAUGUCGAGCUGAUUAGAGUAAUCUGUGGCAUAAUAUUCUAUUAAGCUGCCUGUUUAUUGGUCUUUUAAUUGACAGAGUUACACAUGUGGAUUGAUGUGUGUGUCAUACACUCCCAUUCUCUGCGUUCUGCUCUGCAGAGUAUUAGCCAAGGGUGCACCCGGGUGGUAAGGCCAGGCCUUUGGCCCUGGCCCUUUCCCAGUAGAGCUAAGCAAGGUCAGAAGCGUGCCCUCCGGCCAGAAGCUAACUCUCUUUCCUCUCUCAAAUGUCAAUUUUACCAGUGCCAACACAAACCGUUCUUUGGGUAAGAAUGAGCUUUCAUCUUUAAAGUUGAAAAAAAAAGUAUUUUCAUAGUCUCAACCUCAAUAUUCAACAUCACUGCAAUGCAAAAAAAAAAAUAUAUAUAUAUAUAUAGUACUUUUUUCUUUUC